CUUGCUUCUCUUGAGAGCGGCGGACGGGUGAGUAAUGCCUAGGAAUCUGCCUGGUAGUGGGGGAUAACGUCCGGAAACGGACGCUAAUACCGCAUACGUCCUACGGGAGAAAGCAGGGGACCUUCGGGCCUUGCGCUAUCAGAUGAGCCUAGGUCGGAUUAGCUAGUUGGUGGGGUAAUGGCUCACCAAGGCGACGAUCCGUAACUGGUCUGAGAGGAUGAUCAGUCACACUGGAACUGAGACACGGUCCAGACUCCUACGGGAGGCAGCAGUGGGGAAUAUUGGACAAUGGGCGAAAGCCUGAUCCAGCCAUGCCGCGUGUGUGAAGAAGGUCUUCGGAUUGUAAAGCACUUUAAGUUGGGAGGAAGGGCAGUAAAUUAAUACUUUGCUGUUUUGAUGUUACCGACAGAAUAAGCACCGGCUAACUCUGUGCCAGCAGCCGCGGUAAUACAGAGGGUGCAAGCGUUAAUCGGAAUUACUGGGCGUAAAGCGCGCGUAGGUGGUUCGUUAAGUUGGAUGUGAAAUCCCCGGGCUCAACCUGGGAACUGCAUUCAAAACUGACGAGCUAGAGUAUGGUAGAGGGUGGUGGAAUUUCCUGUGUAGCGGUGAAAUGCGUAGAUAUAGGAAGGAACACCAGUGGCGA
rnacentral:rRNA from 1 species